rnacentral:rRNA from 1 species
UACGAGAGGCCCAAACGUUAAUCGGAAUUACUGGGCGUAAAGCGCACGUAGUCGGCUUUGCAAGUCAGUUGUGAAAUCCCCGGGCUCAACCUGGGAACUGCAUCCGAGACUGCAUUGCUAGAGUAUGGGAGAGGAAAGCGGAAUUUCUGGUGUAGCAGUGAAAUGCGUAGAUAUCAGAAGGAACAUCAGUGGCGAAGGCGGCUUUCUGGACCAAUACUGACGAUCAGGUGCGAAAGCGUGGGGAGCAAACAGG